rnacentral:tRNA from 1 species
GCCCGGUUGGCGCAAUCGGUAGCGCGUGGGACUUUUACGCGCUAUCACAGGUGCAAAAACAUAAAUGCUAUCCCAAGGUCGAGGGUUCGAGCCCCUCAUCGGGCG